AAAAAAUUCAUCUUAAUUUACUUAUCAAACUUCAUUUUUCAAACUAUAUAUAUAAGGUAAAUCACUGACAGAAUUUAAUAAAAAUUUAUUUACACAACUGAAUUAAUAUGGACAGGUAAAUCAAAGCUAACGUCUGAAAUAUUUAUAUCUCGUUGCAACACACGGACAUUGUCCUAUAAUUAAAAAAUAGGUAAACAAGUAAAAAAAUAGGUUAAAAAGAGAGACAUACAUUAGCAAAUAUGUGCAAAGAUAGGGCAUGAACAUGAGGGGGAUGUGAACAUGCAUCUUCGCCUUCAUUGAUGAGCUCCCCAUCUUUGUAUUUGUAAUCAUCCUCUAUCGUGUCCACCUCCAUUUUUUGAAGAAACCACAACCCAAACACAUGAACCACGGUUGAAUAUGCAAACCUCCAUGAGACCUUCUGCAACAUUGGCGCCGAGACAAACACGCUGAGGUCCAAGCUUGCACAAACAUCAAGCUUCAGUUGCUCAAGUAGCGGAGUGGUGAUGUUGAUGCCCUCACAUUGCGUUUCGUGGACAACAAACUCUUGCAGCGACGCAGAGUGCACCGUAACAUCAUGUGUAGACGUAUAUGCGCUCAUCUUAAGCACACGCAGGCAUGGGCAUCGGUAGACCAUGGUGGCAACAUCAAGGACGGUGCAACCCAUGAGAGACAACCUCUCAAGUGCCAAGAAAGGGUCAUUCGACAUUUGUUGUGUGAAACAGACAGACCGCAACGUCAUCGUAAUCGAUGUGGCAUUAGGGAAGCAUGGCAGGUCGGCACGAAAGCAUCUGUCAAAGUCGGUAAUGAAGACAAGCUCCCGCGGAGAGAGCCUCGCCGCCGCAUGGAGAAUGGAUGCAAAUUGAGCGUCUUCCAUAUCAUAGUUCUCAUGACUUUGGCCGAACUCGAUGCCAAGGAGAAACACAAUAAGGCCGAGCUCCAGAGGAACCUUGAGCGCGACAAGGGCCGCUUCGAGCAAGCUGGGCUCGACCUCACGGUAGGUGACCCUUAGCACCCGCAACCGCGGGCAGCGGUUGAGGAAGGCCGCAAGGUCGACGAUGUUGCCGGAGAGAGACAGCCUCUCCAGCGCAGGGAGCUCGGCGUCCGGCAGCUUGACGCGGAGCAAAUGGGCGUCCACCUCGAUGGAGGUGGUGCGGAGGAAGCGAGGCACGGCGAUCUCCACGUGACGGCCCGGCUUAAUUAUGUAAGACCGCGGGAGGAAGAAGACGACCUCCUUGGGCGAGAUCCGCCUGGCGGCGAGCAGCAGCGACUUGGCCUGGGCGUCGUCGCGCUUGGCCGCCUCGCGCAGCGCGCUCCUCGCGAGACGGAUGUCGAGGACGGACACGCCCGGAUGCGGACGGACGCGGGCGAGUGCCUGCCUGACCACCCCGGCCGGGACGUCGCGGAAGGUGAGCCCGGGGAGGCGCGCCCAGAGGCCACGCCACCGGCGCGCGAGGACGCUGGUGCGCGCGGCGGCGCGGGCGCAGCCCAGCCGCCCGAGGACCUCGAGCAGCAUGUCCUCCGGGAGCGCGCUGAUACGGUCGCCUCCGUCCGGGACGCCACCGGAGCCUGCUCCUUCCGGCGGCGGCGGCGGCGGCGCCGAGCGCCUGAUGCGGCGGCCCGAUGGGAACUCCAUUCGCGAGGGAAAACUGAAAUGAAACCCUAAGCACGCGAACCCGCGUGAAUAAAAACGGCAGCCCGUCCGUUACCUGGCGGCCCAGCCCACGAGGCCCAUUUUCCAGGCCCACGAAGCAACGAUAUCUCCCUCCUCUUCUUCGGGUAGGAGGCAGCGGUCGCUCACUCAGUCGCUCUCUCGCCGGCGAUGGACGUGGCGGGGGCGCAGGCGCGCGCGCUGCCGCUCCUCCUCGGCCGGACGGCCGCCUUCCUCCGGUGCUCCGUCUCGUUCUCCUGCGGCGGCGCGCGGCGGAGCUGGGCGUCCUCCGCCACGGCGGAUUGGGAGGACGGCGGCCAAGACUACGAGCGGGUGGCCAUGGACACCCCCGGCGCGUACUGGCUCGUGGACUGGAGCACCGGGAAGAGCGUCAUCGUGUGGGGCGGCGUCGAUGACGGCGAGGAGCCCGGCGUGCCGUCCUCGACGGUCCUCUCCAGGGUCACCGCCGACCGCUCCGCCCCCAAAGGUUCGGCAUCUAUUUGGCAAUGUCAAAUUUGUUAGGAAAAUUUUAGCAAAAUUGUUCAUCGAUGAGUUAACUUUAGCCGAAAUUUCAAGAAAUUUGUAGUGCUUGAGAGUGAAAUGUGUUACUUUUCCUUGAAGAAAAUGGGACAAUUUUUUACACUACAGGUGCAGCAAAUGGGGGGAAUAAUGCAGGUGUCGGGAGCUUCGGAAGACUGAAGGCCCAGAAAGUGCAGGCUUUAGCUAGGAGAUCAGCAGUCCGCACAAGCAUCGCACGGCGUAGUGAAUCUUCUUAUGCUGAUUCUGAUGAAGAUGGAAGCAAAUCUGGAAGAAGGAAGUUUGUCCCCGACCCAGCACGCCGCGCAAAACAAAAUGAUGACUCUAGGGAUGAGAGGAGCAGGGCCGUGCGUUCUCUGAAUUCUGUGCUGAGGCAAUACAAAGGCGACGAUGAUUCAGAUCUUUCUAAUGAGGAGGCUGCUUUUGGCCCCAAAGUUUGGGGUAAAGUUGCCGAUGCUACGUCUUAUAGAAGAGAGGAUCGGAAGCAGAAGGUCCCUUUGGACAGUGGGUUUUUCAGCCGCAGAUCUUUUAAGGAGAUUGGCUGCGGCGAUGAGAUUCUCGGUGCAUUGAGAACCUUCGGGUUUCCUCAACCAUCACACAUUCAGGUAAACGCAUUUUUCAUUUCUUCUCUUCUGGUUUACUGAGCCGAAAAAUAUAUUCAGUUGUUAGCUUCAGUAUCCAUGAAUGUUGCAUAUCAAUUGGAGUAUCCCUGUAAAACCGUCUUAGGCUAUGGCAUAUGGUCCUGUCUUGGAGGGGAGGAGUUGCAUUAUUGCUGAUCAGAGUGGGUCUGGCAAGACAUUGGCAUAUCUCUGCCCUAUAGUUCAAAAUUUAAGGAAGGAAGAAGCUAUUGGGAUCCACAAACCAUCUCCCAGGAACCCACGCGUCAUAAUAUUGACACCUACUGCUGAACUUUCUUCUCAGGUAUACUAUACUACUCGCUGAAUGUGAUGUUGCUGAGGCUUUAUGCGGUUCCAGGAUCAAUUUGAGGAAAAUAAUAAUUAUGGAAUAACCUGUUGAGUCAUUUCUCUAAAUGCAGGUCCUUCAGAAUUGCCGUUCAAUAUCGAAAUCUGGGGUUCCCUUCAGGUCAAUGGUUGCGACCGGUGGAUUUCGACAGAAGACCAACUGGAAAGCCUUGAUCAAGAGCUAGAUGUACUUAUAGCAACGCCUGGCCGUUUCUUGUAUCUGCUUUAGGAAGGCUUUGUGCAGCUAAAUAACCUCAGAUGGUAUGGCUGCUCCUUUUUCCAGUCAUUUUUUUAGUUGGACAGAGGGAUAAAUAAGUGGAUGCACUAGAUAACCUAAGACAUAAGUUAACAUGUUGAUCCCCCUAAUUGCAGUGCCGUGUUCGAUGAAGUGGAUAUUUUAUUUAGUGAAGAAGGCUUUGAACAAGUGCUUCAUCAGUUGAUUACUGUCGCACCAGUGACCACACAAUAUCUUUUUGUCACUGCAACUCUUCCUCUUGAUAUAUAUAACAAGGUUGUUGAAACCUUUCCCGACUGUGAGGUGAUCAUGGGACCUAGUGUCCACCGGACAAGCGCGCGUCUUCAAGAGGUGGGUCAUUCUUAAUUUCUGUAAUUUCCGUAACCUUUUACUAUGUUGCAUAUACGUACUGUCUGAAAACGCUUCUAGGAAAUACUCCUGAAGUGACAUAUCUAUCGUUUACAAAUUUGGAACUUCUUGCAUACGAUAAAAAUGACUCAGAUAUGUAAUUGCAUAAAACAAUGGCAUUGGCAUCAUCAUGUGCUAUUCUCUCCGAGAGUGAUUACAUUUUACAAUUGUACUGUUACACUACAGAUUCUUGUGGACUGCAGUGGAAAUGAACAAUGAUGAAAAGAAUCCGGAAACAGCCUUUUCCAACAAGAGGACAGCACUUCUAAAGAUUAUUGAGGAAUCUCCGGUUCGUAAAACAAUCAUUUUCUGCAAUAAGGUGCUAGUUCCUCUCCCUUGUAUCUCUGUAUAUUAUCAUACAUCAAUACCAAACAUACUUCCUUAAAAGUACAUAACAGAAAAUACCAGUGUCUGACAACUAGCCGGAUUCUUUCUGUUCCCAGAUUGAGACAUGUAGAAAGGUUGAAAAUGUGCUGACACGGCUGGACAGGAAAGCGUCACAGAUCAAGGUUCUACCGUUCCAUGCUGCAUUGGACCAGGCGAAACGCAUCGCAAACAUGAAGGAGUUCCUGAAGAAACAGACUACCGACUCGAUGUUCCUCGUGUGCACAGACAGGUGUGGAUCAACUGAACAACAUUUCUACUUUACUACUAGUUUCUACUAGUUUUGAGGCCAUUGCUUUCACUGAACGGCAGGACUGAAUGUGUGUCAUUUAUGUGAUGGUGGCAGAGCUUCGCGAGGGAUCGACUUCACAAACGUGAACCACGUGGUGCUCUUCGACUACCCCUGUGACCCGAGCGAGUACGUGCGCAGGGUCGGCAGGACAGCCCGCGGCGCAUCGGGUGACGGCAAGGCUUUCGUGUUCGCGGUGGGGAAGCAGGUGUCCCUGGCCAGGAGGGUGAUGGAGAGGAACCUCAAGGGGCACCCGCUACACGACGUCCCGUGCUUCCAGUUCUAGAAUUGGGGCUGAUGAUGCUUCUCUCCCCCACACACAGCUCUAGCUAGUAUUUGCAGUAGUAUAUGAUGAUGUAUAUGCACUACUGUCACAUCUAGGAAGGAUAUGUAUGCUACUAGUGUUCUGCUGAUCAUGCCUGUGUGCUGCUGAUCAUACAUUUAUUUAGGUUAAAAAAUGUGUAGUACAAUGAGAAGCGCAAAGGUGUUUUAUAACAUUCAAAAUAAGUGCAAGGCACUCAUGUUCAGGUGAUUCAGUGGUGGCAACUCAACUAGUGGUGGCAGGCAGAUUCAUAAGAGCAUGCAGUAUAAGCUGGACUUCACUUGUUAAUGCUGCUGUGCUCAUCAGUUCAGAAAGGUGUAGACAGCAUAAGAAGAAAGAUGUGGUGGAAGAGGUAGCUGAUGUAAGCAGAUGAGAUGAGAGCACGGAACGAUAAUUCAACCCGGAGCACAGGCUCAGAUGAGCCUGUGAACAGUACCUUGAUUUAGAUUAGAAAUAAAGUUCAAACAAUUCUAAUUUUUUUUUGUGGUGCAAGAUGCUCUUGUGCGCGAACUCCGUGCAAAAUUUUAUGAAGUUUAGACAUUCGAGGAGCUCGUGGCAAAAAAGACAAAAUCAAGCAUGAACAGUGCGAUUUUCAAAAGUUUCUCAGACUUCCGAAUUUUGUCUUUCGUUUGCCACGAGCUCCACGGAGUUCACGCACACGAGCAUCUUGCACCACAUAAAAAAAUUGGAAUAUUUUAAACCUUUUAUCUAUUUUAAAUCGCGGUACUGUUCAUGCCCGGGAUCAUUUGAGCCAGGGCACCAAAUCGCCGCUCUCGCACGGGUAGUUGAACUCUGCUGACUGACUACUGGCGGAUGUGGAAGAGCUGCAGCUGGGCGCUGUGGAGGAUGGCGUGGGUCCGCUCGUUGGCGGCGUCGCGGGCGCCCAGCUCCCGGGUCUCCUCCUCCCACUUGUUCACCCUCUCCCUGUGGAUGCCCUCACAUUGCGGUUCGUGGACAACAAGCUCCAACUCUUGCAGCGACGCAGAUUGCACCGUAACAUCAUGUGUAGACGUAUCUGCGCUCAUCUUAAGCACACGCAGGCAUGGGCAUCGGUAGACCAUGGUGGCAACAUCAAGGACGGUGCAACCCAUGAGAGACAACCUCUCAAGUGCCAAG
rnacentral:lncRNA from 1 species